GACCUCAAAUCAGGUAGGAACACCCGCUGAACUUAAGCAUAUCAAUAAGCGGAGGAAAAGAAAAUAACAAUGAUUCCCCUAGUAACUGCGAGUGAAGAGGGACAAGCUCAAAUUUUAAAUCUAUCGGGUUUUACCUGAUCGAGUUGUAAUUUGAAGAUGGCGUUUUCUGCGUAUUUGAUCAGCCUAAGUCCUAUUGAAUGAGGCAUCACGGAGGGUGAUAAUCCCGUCCGGUUGAUCAUUUGCGUUUUACGAUACGCUUUCUAAGAGUCAAGUUGUUUGGGAUUGCAGCUUAAAAUGGGAGGUAAAUUUCUCCUAAGGCUAAAUAACGGCGAGAGACCGAUAGCGAACAAGUACCGUGAGGGAAAGAUGAAAAGAACUUUGAAAAGAGAGUUAAACAGUACGUGAAAUUGUUGAAAGGGAAACGAUUGAAGCCAGUCGUACCUUCGGGUAAUCAGCCUUUCGGGUGCGAUUCUGUGGAGUUUGAGGAGCUUUAACACCUUCAUGCUUUGCAUAUUCGUGCUCUUGGGUGUACUUGCCCGUGUGGUUGGUUAACAUCAAUUUCGGGCACCAUAAAAUGGCUGGAGGAAUGUAGCUUCGAUCUUGUAUUGAAGUGUUAUAGCCUUCGGUAGAUGUGGUGAUCGAGAUUGAGGAUUGCAACGGAUACCUUUCGGGGCUACCUGUCUGAUCUCUGAUCGUUGCUCUGGUGCCGAAAGCUUGCUUACGGUAAUCAAAGUCGAUGGUCAAUAGGUUAGAACGGGUUAAAUUCGUUAAGGAUGUUGACGUAAUGGCUUUAAACGACCCGUCUUGAAACACGGACC
rnacentral:rRNA from 1 species